rnacentral:misc_RNA from 1 species
AUGAAGAUUUGAUUCGAAAGGUUAGUAUGUCUUUUUGCUGUGUGGUUCACAAUUUUUCCUUGCAGGGUAUUGCUAUAAGUCAAAUAAAAGGUUAGAAGAGGAUGAAAACCUAAAUGGAAAGUGACAAGUAAUCGCUUCCUUACUGUAUAUGAUUCUUAAGAUGGUUUUAUAUUCUCAUAUAAGGUUAAAGGUUCAUGUAUUUUUUUCUCUUGGCUUGAUAAAUUGAAAGAACGUACUAGUGUUGCUUUUAAUUUUAGUUCGCUUGUGAUAAAUCAUAAAUCGUUAACAGUGUGACAUAGAGCUCAAAGAAUAUGAUCUCUUCAUUUAGUAUAAAUAAGAUGGAUUAAGCUAAUAUCACAUCAAAUGACUUUCAAAGGUUGUACUUAAAAUAUAAAGAGAGAGCGAGAAGAAGAGGGGUG